rnacentral:rRNA from 1 species
CGCGGCCUAUCAGCUUGUUGGUAGGGUAACGGCCUACCAAGGCAACGACGGGUAGCUGGUCUGAGAGGACGAUCAGCCACACUGGAACUGCGACACGGUCCAGACUCCUACGGGAGGCAGCAGUGAGGAAUAUUGCGCAAUGGGCGAAAGCCUGACGCAGCGACGCCGCGUGGGGGAUGAAGGUUUUCGGAUUGUAAACCCCUUUCGGGAGGGAAGAUGGGGUGGGUAACCACUCGGACGGUACCUCCAGAAGCAGCCACGGCUAACUUCGUGCCAGCAGCCGCGGUAAUACGAAGGUGGCAAGCGUUGUUCGGAUUUACUGGGCGUAAAGAGAGCGUAGGCGGUUUGGUAAGCCCUGUGGGAAAUCUCCCGGCUUAACCGGGAAAGUUCGCAGGGGACUGCUUGGCUAGAGGAUGGGAGAGGAGCGCGGAAUUCCCGGUGUAGCGGUGAAAUGCGUAGAGAUCGGGAGGAAGGCCGGUGGCGAAGGCGGCGCUCUGGAACAUUCCUGACGCUGAGGCUCGAAAGCGUGGGGAGCAAACAGGAUUAGAUACCCUGGUAGUCCACGCCUUAAACGAUGGACACUAAGUGUCGGCGGGUUACCGUCGGUGCCGCAGCUAACGCAGUAAGUGCCCCGCCUGGGGAGUACGG